rnacentral:rRNA from 1 species
CCCUAUGGGGUGCGAAAAGAUCCUCAAGUUCGAGGGCUGCUAUCACGGCCAUGCCGAUUCGUUGCUGGUCAAGGCGGGCUCCGGCGUGGCCACGCUCGGCAUCCCCGGAAGCCCGGGUGUCCCGAAAGGCCUCGCGGAGCUCACCGUCACGGUUCCCUUCAACGACCUGGCCGCCGUGAAAACCGCCGUGAAAAAGCACGGAAAGGAACUGGCCUGCGUCAUCGUGGAGCCCGCCGCGGGCAACAUGGGCCUCGUCCCCCCCGCGCCCGGUUUUCUGAAAGGCCUGCGGGAACUCACCGCGGCCGCGGGAAUCGUCCUGAUCUUCGAUGAAGUCAUUUCGGGGUUCCGGCUGCGUUUCGGGGGCUUGCAGCACCUCGUCGGAAUCCGGCCCGACCUGACCUGCCUCGGCAAGAUCAUUGGCGGGGGGGC